GAUGAAGAACGUAGCGAAAUGCGAUACGUAAUGUGAAUUGCAGAAUUCAGUGAAUCAUCGAGUCUUUGAACGCACAUUGCGCCCCCUGGUAUUCCGGGGGGCAUGCCUGUCCGAGCGUCAUUGCUGCCCUCAAGCACGGCUUGUGUGUUGGGCCUCCGUCCUCCUCCCGGGGGACGGGCCCGAAAGGCAGCGGCGGCACCGCGUCCGGUCCUCGAGCGUAUGGGGCUUCGUCACCCGCUCUUGUAGGCCCGGCCGGCGCUUGCCGACACAUCAAUCUUUUUUCCAGGUUGACCUCGGAUCAGGUAGGGAUACCCGCUGUACUUAAGCAUAUCAAUAAGCCGGAGGA
rnacentral:misc_RNA from 1 species